UGGCUGAGAUGGUAAAGCAUCUGCCUAUAAUGCAUGAGACCCAGGUUUGAUCCCUGG
rnacentral:tRNA from 1 species